GAUGAACGCUGGCGGCGUGCCUAAUACAUGCAAGUCGAGCGAACAGACGAGGAGCUUGCUCCUCUGACGUUAGCGGCGGACGGGUGAGUAACACGUGGAUAGCCUACCUAUAAGACUGGGAUAACUUCGGGAAACCGGAGCUAAUACCGGAUAAUAUAUUGAACCGCAUGGUUCAAUAGUGAAAGACGGUUUUGCUGUCAAUUAUAGAUGGAUCCGCGCCGCAUUAGCUAGUUGGUAAGGUAACGGCUUACCAAGGCAACGAUGCGUAGCCGACCUGAGAGGGUGAUCGGCCACACUGGAACUGAGACACGGUCCAGACUCCUACGGGAGGCAGCAGUAGGGAAUCUUCCGCAAUGGGCGAAAGCCUGACGGAGCAACGCCGCGUGAGUGAUGAAGGUCUUCGGAUCGUAAAACUCUGUUAUUAGGGAAGAACAAAUGUGUAAGUAACUAUGCACGUCUUGACGGUACCUAAUCAGAAAGCCACGGCUAACUACGUG
rnacentral:rRNA from 1 species